UACAGAGGUCUCAAGCGUUGUUCGGAAUUACUGGGCGUAAAGGGCUCGUAGGCGGCCAACUAAGUCAGACGUGAAAUCCCUCGGCUUAACCGGGGAACUGCGUCUGAUACUGGAUGGCUUGAGUUUGGGAGAGGGAUGCGGAAUUCCAGGUGUAGCGGUGAAAUGCGUAGAUAUCUGGAGGAACACCGGUGGCGAAGGCGACAUCCUGGACCAACACUGACGCUGAGGAGCGAAAGCCAGGGGAGCAAACGGG
rnacentral:rRNA from 1 species